AUUGAACGCUGGCGGCAUGCUUUACACAUGCAAGUCGAACGGCAUCACGGACUUCGGUCUGGUGGCGAGUGGCGAACGGGUGAGUAAUACAUAGGAACGUACCCUGUAAUGGGGGAUAACUAUCCGAUAGGAUAGCUCAUACCGCAUACGCCCUACGGGGGAAAGAGGGGGAUCGCAAGACCUCUUGUUAUUGGAGCGGCCGAUGGCUGAGUAGCUAGUUGGUAGGGUAAAGGCCUACCAAGGCAACGAUCAGUAGCGGGUCUUAGAGGACGAUCCGCCACACUGGAACUGAGAAACGGUCCAGAAUCCUACGGAAGGGAGCAGUGGGGAAUCUUGGACAAUGGACGGAAGCCUGAUCCAGCAAUGCCGCGUGCGUGAAGAAGGCCAUCAGGUUGUAAAGCGCUAUGGUCAGGGCGCAAAUCCUUGUGGCUAAUACCCACCGGGUAUGAGAGUACCUGAAGAAUAAGGACCGGCUAACUACGUGCCAGCAGCCGCCGUAA
rnacentral:rRNA from 1 species